rnacentral:rRNA from 1 species
AGCAGCAUACCACCCUGCAACCCACUGCUGGCUUGCUUCUGAAGCUAAGCAUGGUUGGUCCUGUCAGUCCCUGGAUGGGAGACCAGAUGCUGCUGGAAGUGGUGUUG